rnacentral:rRNA from 1 species
CCAGCCACACUGGAACUGAGACACGGUCCAGACUCCUACGGGAGGCAGCAGUGGGGAAUAUUGCACAAUGGGCGCAAGCCUGAUGCAGCCAUGCCGCGUGUAUGAAGAAGGCCUUCGGGUUGUAAAGUACUUUCAGCGGGGAGGAAGGGAGUAAAGUUAAUACCUUUGCUCAUUGACGUUACCCGCAGAAGAAGCACCGGCUAACUCCGUGCCAGCAGCCGCGGUAAUACGGAGGGUGCAAGCGUUAAUCGGAAUUACUGGGCGUAAAGCGCACGCAGGCGGUUUGUUAAGUCAGAUGUGAAAUCCCCGGGCUCAACCUGGGAACUGCAUCUGAUACUGGCAAGCUUGAGUCUCGUAGAGGGGGGUAGAAUU